CCUGGUUUGGCUCAGUGGAAAGAGCAUUGGCCUGGGGACUCAAAGGUCCCGGGUUCAAUUCCCAUCAAGGG
rnacentral:tRNA from 1 species